UGGGGAAUCUUGCACAAUGGGGGAAACCCUGAUGCAGCGACGCCGCGUGAACGAUGAAGCCCUUCGGGGUGUAAAGUUCUUUCGACAGGAACGAUAAUGACGGUACCUGGAGAAGAAGCUGCGGCUAACUACGUGCCAGCAGCUGCGGUAAUACGUAGGCAGCGAGCGUUGUUCGGAGUUACUGGGCGUAAAGAGUGCGUAGGCGGCGAGCCAAGUUUGGUGUGAAAUCUCCCGGCUUAACCGGGAGGGUGCGCCGAAAACUGGUUGGCUGGAGGAUGGGAGAGGAGAGCGGAAUUCCUGGUGUAGCGGUGAAAUGCGUAGAUAUCAGGAGGAACACCUGCGGUGUAGACAGCUUUCUGGACCAAAACUGACGCUGAGGCACGAAAGCGUGGGUAGCAAACA
rnacentral:rRNA from 1 species